rnacentral:rRNA from 1 species
GAUGAACGCUGGCGGCGUGCCUAAUACAUGCAAGUCGAGCGAACGGACGAGAAGCUUGCUUCUCUGAUGUUAGCGGCGGACGGGUGAGUAACACGUGGAUAACCUACCUAUAAGACUGGGAUAACUUCGGGAAACCGGAGCUAAUACCGGCUAAUAUUUUGAACCGCAUGGUUCAAAAGUGAAAGACGGUCUUGCUGUCACUUAUAGCUGGAUCCGCGCUGCAUUAGCUAGUUGGUAAGGUAACGGCUUACCAAGGCAACGAUGCAUAGCCGACCUGAGAGAGUGAUCGGCCACACUGGAAGUGAGACACGGUCCAGACUUCUACGGGAGGCAGCAGUAGGGAAUGUUCCACAAUGGGCGAAAGCCUGACGGGGCAACAACGCGUGAGUGAUGAAGGUCUUCGGAUCGUAAAACUCUGUUAUUAGGGAAAAAAAUAUGUGUAAGUAACUGUGCACAUCUUGACGGUACCUAAUCAGAAAGCCACGGCUAACUACGUG